rnacentral:rRNA from 1 species
UAGGACCUACGGGGGGCAGCAGUGAGGAAUAUUGGUCAAUGGGCGAGAGCCUGAACCAGCCACGUCGCGUGAGGGAAGACGGGCCUAUGGAUUGUAAACCUCUUUUGCCGGGGAGCAAAAAGCGGUACGUGUACCGCAUCGCGAGUACCCGGAGAAAAAGCAUCGGCUAACUCCGUGCCAGCAGCCGCGGUAAUACGGAGGAUGCGAGCGUUAUCCGGAUUUAUUGGGUUUAAAGGGUGCGCAGGCGGCGCGUUAAGUCAGCGGUAAAAUUUCGGGG